GUAUUUGAGCCUGAUCCAAAGCUCAUCGUAGUCAGUGGGAGAUUUUCCAUUCACUUCAGUGGGCUUUGGAUCAGCCCCGUAGUGU
rnacentral:pre_miRNA from 1 species